rnacentral:rRNA from 1 species
UAUCCGGAUUUAUUGGGUUUAAAGGGAGCGUAGGCCGUGGAUUAAGCGUGUUGUGAAAUGCAGGUGCUCAACGUCUGCACUGCAGCGCGAACUGGUCCACUAGAGUGUGCGCAACGCAGGCGGAAUUCGUCGUGUAGCGGUGAAAUGCUUAGAUAUGACGAAGAACUCCGAUUGCGAAGGCAGCUUGCGGGAGCACAACUGACGCUGAAGCUCGAAAGUGCGGGUAUCGAACAGGAUUAGAUACCCUGGUAGUCCGCACGGUAAACGAUGGAUGCCCGUUGUCAGGCUGUUUCAGCCUGGUGACCAAGCGAAAGCAUUAAGCAUCCCACCUGGGGAGUACGCCGGCAACGGUGAAACUCAAAGGAAUUGACGGGGGCCCGCACAAGCGGAGGAACAUGUGGUUUAAUUCGAUGAUACGCGAGGAACCUUACCCGGGCUUGAAUUGCAGACGAACGAUUCAGAGAUGAUGAGGCCUUUCGGGGCGUCUGUGAAGGUGCUGCAUGGUUGUCGUCAGCUCGUGCCGUGAGGUGUCGGCUUAAGUGCCAUAACGAGCGCAACCCCUUUCUUCAGUUGCCAUCAGGUGAUGCUGGGCACUCUGGAGACACUGCCACCGCAAGGUGUGAGGAAGGUGGGGAUGACGUCAAAUCAGCACGGCCCUUACGUCCGGGGCUACACACGUGUUACAAUGGCCGGUACAGAGAGUUGAUUUUGUGCAAACACGAUCUAAUCCUUAAAUCCGGUCCCAGUUCGGACUGGGGUCUGCAACCCGACCCCACGAAGCUGGAUUCGCUAGUAAUCGCGCAUCAGCCAUGGCGCGGUGAAUACGUUCCCGGGCCUUGUACA